AGGAUGGCAAGAACUUUGGAUGCAGCUUGAAAUAGAAAAGCUCACCCAAUGUUCAUGACAGGCUGACAGCCAAUUAUCAGCAUCUCUUUUCUUCACAGAGUUCAUUUUUGUACAUUUUUCCAUUCCGAAGACUUGAAAAGGAGGCCAUUUUUCCAGACAGUGAUUUCUUCCAAUAUCUCAUCUCCUGGUGCUCUUUUUCAACACCCAAGCAGGCUCUCCCAUGGGGUUACAGUCUUGCAAGCCUUACAACUGCUGCCUUCAAAGCAAAGAGGAAUGCAGACCUGCUUGUGGCUGUGCUUGUAUGUGUGAGGAUUGGAGAUAUUGCUCUGACCGCUGCUGUGACAUCUGUUGCCAGAUGUGUGUGGACCUGUGCUCUGGCUUGUGUUCAGGAGACUGCAGCUACACUUUCUGUACAGUCUGUCUUGCUCUGGCACAGGACUGCCUUUUACUUUUCACCAACCAACAAAGUGAAACAUCAGACUCACGUUCUCCAGCCCCAGAACAGCUCGUGUAGCUGAAGGUUGGAGAAGAAAGCAUGUGACCAGAAGCCUAGAAAUAACUCACAGCAAAUACGAAGACGAGGCAUGAGCUGCAGGUGUGAUGAGGUCGAAGAUGAGAGGCCAGAAGAUUUGACAACAGGUGUAAAAAUAGCUGUCUUCCCAGUGGCAGGGACUGCAUACACAUGCUAAUUUAUCAGUGGUCCUGACAAUGAGUUUACAAUGAUUGUUGGGAUCAAGGUUAAGCAAAAAGCUUUUGGACAAAAUUGAAACGUCUGCAAAAAUGACAUUCGGUUCCUGAUUCACACCCAUAUAUGAUGGCAGAGACUGGAUGUUAGUCUUUAAUUGCAUUGUUUCCACCUCA